AACUAGUCCAACCAAGCAAAAAGACUUUCAGUUUGACUCCCCGAAACUAGGCGAGCUAUUUUAAGACAGCUUACUGAGCUAAUCCGUCCCUGUUGCAAAAGGGUGGAAAGAUCUUAAAAUAGAGGUGACAGACCAAACGAGCCAAGUGAUAGCUGGUUGCUCAUGAAAAGGAUUUUAGUCCCGCUUAAAGAUCCACUAGUCUAUCAAAACCAUCUUUAAAGUAAUUCAAAUAAGGUACAGCCUAUUUGAAAAAGGAUACAACCUCGACCUCUGGGUAAUCAUUUUUAAAAUGAAAUAGUAGGCCCAAAAGCAGCCAUCUAACAUAAAAGCGUCAAAGCUUAUUCAUUUCCCUUUACAAAAUACCCCCAUUUCUUCCAAACCCGUCACUGUUAAUGAGCAACUCUAUAUAACUAUAGAAAAUUUUAUGUUAAAACUAGUAAUAAGAAGUUAGCCCUUCUCCUCAAUGCAAGUGUACAUCAGUAAGGACACCCCGCUGAUUCUUAAC
rnacentral:rRNA from 1 species